UGCGUAGGCGGCUUUUUAAGUUUGGUGUGAAAUCUCCCGGCUCAACUGGGAGGGUGCGCCGAAUACUGAGAGGCUAGAGUGUGGGAGAGGAAAGUGGAAUUCCUGGUGUAGCGGUGAAAUGCGUAGAUAUCAGGAGGAACACCGGUGGUGUAAACGGCUUUCUGGACCAUAACUGACGCUGAGGCACGAAAGCGUGGGUAGCAAACAGGAUUAGAUACCCUGGUAGUCCACGCCCUAAACGAUGCAUAUUUGGUGUGGGCCAUUCAUUUGGUCUGUGCCGGAGCUAACGCGUUAAAUAUGCCGCCGUGGGGAGUACAGUCGCAAGGCUAGAA
rnacentral:rRNA from 1 species